rnacentral:misc_RNA from 1 species
CCAAUAGCGUAUAUUAAAGUUGUUGCAGUUAAAAAGCUCGUAGUUGAACUUCGGGGUCUACCCAUUGGUCAGGCUUAAUUGUCUGCACUGGUGAGAUGGAUCUCUACCUUCUGAGGAACUUUCAUGCCAUUUAUUUGGUGUGGUUGGAAAUCAGGACUGUUACUUUGAAAAAAUUAGAGUGUUUAAAGCAGACUAUCGUCUGAAUACAUUAGCAUGGAAUAAUGAAAUAGGACGGACUGAUUCUAUUUCGUUGGUUUCUAGGAUCACCGUAAUGAUUAAUAGGGAUAGUUGGGGGCAUUAGUAUUCAAUUGUCAGAGGUGAAAUGCUUGGAUUUAUUGAAGACUAACUACUGCGAAAGCAUUUGCCAAGGAUAUUUUCAUUAAUCAAGAACGAAAGUCAGAGGUUCGAAGGCGAUCAGAUGCCGCCCUAGUUCUGACCAUAAACGAUGCCAACCAGUAAUUCGCCUGAGUUCCUUAAAUGACUCGGCGAGGGACUUCCG